GAUGAACGCUGGCGGCGUGCCUAAUACAUGCAAGUCGAGCGAAUGGAUUAAGAGCUUGCUCUUAUGAACUUAGCGGCGGACGGGUGAGUAACACGUGGGUAACCUGCCCAUAAGACUGGGAUAACUCCGGGAAACCGGGGCUAAUACCGGAUAACAUUUUGAACCGCAUGGUUCGAAAUUGAAAGGCGGCUUCGGCUGUCACUUAUGGAUGGACCCGCGUCGCAUUUAGCUAGUUGGUGAGGUAACGGCUCACCAAGGCAACGAUGCGUAGCCGAACUGAGAGGGUGAUCGGCCACACUGGGACUGAGGCACGGCCCAGACUCCUACGGGAGGCAGCAGUAGGGAAUCUUCCGCAAUGGACGAAAGUCUGACGGAGCAACGCCGCGUGAGUGAUGAAGGCUUUCGGGUCGUAAAACUCUGUUGUUAGGGAAGAACAAGUGCUAGUUGAAUAAGCUGGCACCUUGACGGUACCUAACCAGAAAGCCACGGCUAGCUACGUGCCAGCCGCCGCUGUAA
rnacentral:rRNA from 1 species